UUUGUCUCAAAUAAAAAAAUAACCAAAACAUAAAACAUUCAUACAGCUUCAAGAUUGCAUUUUAAUUUUACAAGUAGACAUGAAAUUGAAAUAAAUCACCAUGACAACAAAGAGAAAUAAAUACACUUUAGAAAUAAUCGCGCGCGCGCGCACGCUUAUAUCCACGCGACAGAGGAGGAGAUAAGAACAUGAUUUUUGUAUCAGCAAGCUUCGAAUUUUUAGCCUUUUCCACACUGUGCAGUUCAUAUCACUCAUCAAUUGGAUAAAUGUUUUAUCAAUAUCACAUGCUUAUGAAAUGAAAUUAUAGCAACAAAUCAAUAAAGAAGCUUCUACAUCGUGACAUUACUUGCCAGAAAAAGCAGUCUAAUCUCCUUCAAAUCACAAUCUAUUGUCUUAAAAAAAAAGAAGAUUUUAUAUUAUUAUUUAUUAAUGAUUUCUUACAAGGACAGAAAGAAAAAUCUCUAAGUUUGCAGGCUACAAUCAGUACAGUGAAUCUCAGGGUGCUAGAGUUGCAGUAACAGUUGAAUGCCAGACAAAAAUGUUUAAGGCAGCAAGCUGGCAGAAAUGUUAGCAUGCCGGGCGAAAUGUAUAGCGGUAUUUCGUCUGGUGUUACGUUCUGAGUUCAAAUUCCACCGAGGCCGACUUUGCCUUUCAUCGUCGAUAAAUUAAGUACCAGUUAUGCACUGGAGUCGAUGUAAUCGACUUAAUCCCUUUGUCUGUCCUUGUUUGUCCCCUCUGUGUUUAUUUAGCCCCUUGUGGGCAAUAAAGAAAUAAU